AUUGAACGCUGGCGGCAUGCCUUACACAUGCAAGUCGAACGGUAACAGGUCUUCGGAUGCUGACGAGUGGCGAACGGGUGAGCAAUACAUCGGAACGUGCCCGAUCGUGGGGGAUAACGAAGCGAAAGCUUUGCUAAUACCGCAUAAGAUCUACGGAUGAAAGCAGGGGACCGCAAGGCCUUGCGCGAACGGAGCGGCCGAUGGCAGAUUAGGUAGUUGGUGGGAUAAAAGCUUACCAAGCCGACGAUCUGUAGCUGGUCUGAGAGGACGACCAGCCACACUGGGACUGAGACACGGCCCAGACUCCUACGGGAGGCAGCAGUGGGGAAUUUUGGACAAUGGGCGCAAGCCUGAUCCAGCAAUGCCGCGUGCAGGGAGAAGGCCUUCGGGUUGUAAACUGCUUUUGUACGGAACGAAAAGACUUCUUCUAAUAAAGGGGGUCCAUGACGGUACCGUAAGAAUAAGCACCGGCUAACUACGUGCCAGCCGCCGCUGUAAAAC
rnacentral:rRNA from 1 species